rnacentral:rRNA from 1 species
GUGGGGAAUCUUCCGCAAUGGACGAAAGUCUGACGGAGCGACGCCGCGUGAGUGAAGAAGGCCUUCGGGUCGUAAAGCUCUGUCAUCAGGGACGAACGGCCGGUGGAGUGGAAAGCCACCGGAUUGACGGUACCUGAGAAGGAAGCCACGGCUAACUACGUGCCAGCAGCCGCGGUAAUACGUAGGUGGCAAGCGUUGUCCGGAAUUAUUGGGCGUAAAGCGCGCGCAGGUGGGAUCUUAAGUCCAUUUUUAAAGUUCGGAGCUCAACUCCGUGAUGGGAUGGAAACUGGGAUUCUUGAGUACCGGAGAGGAAAGCGGAAUUCCCCGUGUAGCGGUGAAAUGCGUAGAUAUUGGGAAGAACACCGGUGGCGAAGGCGACCACCUGGCUCGGUUCUGACGCUGAGGCGCGACAGCGUGGGGAGCAAACAGGAUUAGAAACCCCUGUAGUCC